CCGGAUGCUGUUAUAGUGAAGAUGUUGAGCAUGGCCUACAGACCCUUUGGCACCAAUUGGAGAUGGGGUUUUUUUGGGUACUGCUGAGGUUUAGAAGGCUCAUCAAUGACCCCACAAUCCUUGAUAUAAUGUAAAACGCAAGAGAUGGAAAAGCUAUGUAAAAAUUCAAGAUUACCACUGCAAGGUUUCAGCAGAUCACAAGAUCCCUGAGUUUUGUACCAGCCUGAGGGAUGGUCUGAAGAGGCAGCGAGGUAGCGGCAGCACACCAGCAGACGAGGCAUUCAGAGCUGUAAAGCAAGUGGUGCCCAUCGUCCCCAUGUAUUACUGAAUCAAAAGGAGCAAGGAACUUCACAAACCUACAGCCAGCCUGAACCAUUGCUCCACAGAAGUUUUUAAUUCAAGCACAGAAGACAAAAGAUACCUUUUCCCGAAAUCCUAGGAAACAUUCUCUAUCUUGGCUAGCAAGAUAAGCAUAAAUAUUGCUGAUAGCUCUCCAAGCUGUUACACUGGCCUGGUUACACCUGAGCUGGGCUUCGGAAGUUUUAUCAGAUGUGUCAUGUAGCAACUUGCUUCCACUGAGCGUGGCAUAACAAGGAAGCUGAAGCUUAGGAGGAAGACUGUUCCAACACAUCUAGGAU